GAUGAACGCUGGCGGCGUGCUUAACACAUGCAAGUCGAACGAGAAAUGAUAUUACGAUCUCUUCGGAGUGACGGUUUUAUUUCGAGUGGCGGACGGGUGAGUAACGCGUGAGCAACCUGCCCUAUACCGGGGGAUACCAGUUGGAAACGACUGUUAAUACCGCAUAAGCGCACGAUAAGACAUCUUGUUGUGUGAAAAACUCCGGUGGUAUAGGAUGGGCUCGCGUAUGAUUAGCCAGUUGGCGGGGUAAAGGCCCACCAAAGCGACGAUCAUUAGCCGACCUGAGAGGGCGACCGGCCACAUUGGGACUGAGACACGGCCCAAACUCCUACGGGAGGCAGCAGUGGGGAAUAUUGCACAAUGGGCGAAAGCCUGAUGCAGCGACGCCGCGUGAGUGAGGAAGUAUUUCGGUAUGUAAAGCUCUAUCAGCAGGGAAGAAAGAAAUGACGUACCU
rnacentral:rRNA from 1 species